CGAGUGCUGGGAUUAAAGGCGUGCGCCACCACGCCCGGCUUUUUCUUCUCUUUCACUGUUUUGCAAUAAAAUCUCCUGAAUUGUGUCUCACCUUCCUUUCAUUGUGUGUGCAAGAUAAUUUCCUAGCCAGCACAAUGCAUACCUUUAAAGACACUUAGGCCAGAUUUGCUCUCCAAUCAUGUGGCUCCUACCCUGCUUUGCUUCAGCCUCCCCUGCAUAAACACUGUCAUCUAAGCUGCAUAUGAGGAUUCGCACUCCCGUACCCAGACAUUUGGACCUGGGUGGGCUUUUCUGGUUGGGAUAACACUGCCCAGUAAUUUCCACAUUACCAUCUCCUUAUAUAUUCACCAGGCCUACCUGCAGUCAACCUACACUAUUGGGCUUACAAAAGCCAGUUCAUUACUGCACCAUUCUACUAAUAGUUCAGAGAGCUUAAAAAAUAAAAGACCAAGGAGGGUGCUGUAUCACUUGCAGAAGAGGAAACUGAGAUGCAGGAAUUGAAAUUCUUCACUCAGAUGAUGAGCAACUCAAGCAAGGAUGAACGAAGGAACAUCAUGUAAUUCUAAUGCUCCAGCUCACAUGACUCCACUUUAUACCUACUUUGAAGCUCUCUCUCUCUCUCUCUCUCUCUCUCUCUCUCUCUCUCUCUCUCUGUAUGUAUGUGUGUGCAUACAUGUGCAUGUUGUGUAGGUCAGAGGUCAGUUUCAUCUGUUGAGCCCACCUCGGCCGGCAAGGAGGACACAACACGGUUGGAUUCUUCUUAACAGCCUUUUUAUUGCAGGAACACCUCAAUGCUGCUCUGGUGGACCCUGGGCACCCAGGGAGCACUGCUUAUAUGCACCCCAGCACUGGAGAAGACUCUGUGGCCCCCUGGGAUUGUGAUUUUGUCAGGCUAGGAGCUUCCAGCAGACAGUGAACUCAGUGGUCUCUGAAGCCACCUGGAAGUACUGCCAUGUUAGAAGGCUAUGAAGAAGGUCGUUGGCCAUGGAAAAGUUGCUGUAAUUCCAGCCUCAGACGAUCAGGAGUGUCAGAACUGAGACAUCCCUACUGAUAGUGACAAUUUACUCUCACCACUAAGCAUGAAACUCAAAGAAAGCAAGCAAGACAAACUGAUGUGCCCGUCAUGCUGGGUGCUCGAGGCCCAGGCUCACAUCUGCUGGAGUAUGACUCUCACUCUGACCUCCUGUUAGCUGUUUGAUCACAGGCAAGUUACUAACCCCUCAGUGCCCCCUCGGCAAAACAGAGAAACUGGAAUGACCCACAGCUUUGGAAAGAUUAUGGUAAUUGAUAUGUGGGAACCACACAAAGCUCCCAAUCCUUGUACAUUCGGUGCAUAACACUAGGAACCAUCCUUCCCAAGGAGAUUAUUUCUGUGUGUGGGAAGUGAUGUUUUCCUUUAUGGCUGAACCAUACAGUCUCUUUCCCGAAUGAUCUCAUAUGUGGAUAGGUAGCCUAGUUCUGUUUUUUUGUGCUAACUUAUUUGUUUGGAAAAUUUUGAAUUCAGUCAGAGCCAAAACCACAACAAUGGAAACACUGAGCCGCGCUCUGGAUGGACCAUUUUGCUUCGACCUCAGUCUUCUCAAGCUAUAAAUACAAUGAGACUGAACUUCUGUGCUUGGAUCGCCACACAAAUUAGAUAGGAGCUGGUUGUAGUUAAGGACACAGGUUCUGGAGCCAGGGAGACAGUCUGAGUUCCAACUCUGCCACUUAGGAACAGAGUUGGCUGGCAAGGGGACCUGAGUCCAUAUUCUUCAUCUCCAAAUCAGGAUGCUGACCCUACAGACAUCAUAUGGGUAUUGAACUGAUUUAGAAAGAUAUUUCAUAUAGUCUCUCUCUCUCUCUCCCUCCCUCUCCCUCUCCCUCUUUCUC